rnacentral:rRNA from 1 species
AGAAAAGCUUCUAAGCUUCAGGUAACCAGGAACCGUACCCCAAACCGACACAGGUGGUUGGGUAGAGAAUACCAAGGCGCUUGAGAGAACUUGGGUGAAGGAACUAGGCAAAAUGGCACCGUAACUUCGGGAGAAGGUGCACCCUUUUUGGUGGCUCGUGCGAGCUAUAGCUGAAGAGGGUCGCAGUAACCAGGGCGCUGCGACUGUUUAUUAAAAACACAGCACUCUGCAAACACGAAAGUGGACGUAUAGGGUGUGA